GUUCCUUGAUGAAAACCAUGCGCGUCAUCUGAUCUCAGAUUUCCUGAGCAUUGUAGGAUGAUUGUUUUCUCUGAGAAC
rfam:Stegodyphus mimosarum contig39694, whole genome shotgun sequence.